CAUAGUCGUGAUCCCAAGCGAGUCAUCAUUGUUUAUGAAAGAAGUUUAGAAGGUGUAUACGUUGUCUUGUUGCCAAUGCGAAAUUCAGUGGUGUGGAAAAUGGUUGGUAGAAAGGUCUUUCCUAACCACUUGCCAAUUCCUUGAUUAUCAGCAAGACGCCUCCCGAAUCACACAACUCGCAAUAAUAUAAGUAUGAAAGAUCACCGAGGAUCGGAGUUCACAUGCUUGUAUAAGAAUUACGUAACACGUUGUACAACGGUUAAAUAAAGACAGCCAAAUCGCUUGGGAAUCAUUUAUCGACAAAUCGCGAAACUGGAAACACGAUGAUGGUUAUACAAUCGUAUUGUGGCGUAAGAUUCUACGUCUUGAUACUAUUUCUACUAAGCAGUUAUGUUAGUAUUUGCGGCAGUGCCCCGGCUGGAAAUGCGGAUAUUUUUGAAAAUUCGACUCGCCCAGAAAUCCACGUACUUCAAGGAAAUAUCCAAGGUGUAAAUCUGGUCACGCGCCGCAACAGGAUAUUCUUCGGUUUUAAAGGAAUCCCAUUCGCCCAACCGCCGAUUGGAAAUCUCAGAUUCAAGGGACCCGUACCAGCAGGAGCGUGGAAUGGUACUUUAGAUGGUAGCAUCGAUUCCCCCCCAUGUCCUCAGCUGGAGGGUACAGUGUUCAUCGGAGAUGAGGACUGUCUAUAUCUCAACGUGUAUACACCACGGCUUCCUACCGGUGACAACUUUACCUUACUACCAGUAAUGCUCUUUGCCUAUGGCGGUGGACACAAAACAGGAACGAAUAAUCCCAAACGAUGGGGACCUCAAUUCAUCCUUGAUAAAGAUGUCGUCCUGUUAGUUCCUAACUACCGUAUGGGUCCUUUAGGAUAUCUCAGUACGGGAGAUGAAGUAUCACCUGGUAAUUACGGUCUCAAGGACCUAGUUCGAGCUUUGGAAUGGACUCGAGACAACGUUCGUUAUUUUGGUGGUGAUCCCAAUCAAGUCACUGUUCACGGAGGAAGUUCAGGGGCCGCGUGCGUUCAUCUCUUGACGAUGUCGAAUUCAACGAAUGGACUUUUUCAUCGAUAUAUCCUGCAAAGUGGAAACGCGCUCGGGUUGUUAUUUCCACAUACGAAAACGCAGAGCGCAAAAUAUGCUGCUAAGCUUGGAGAACAUCUUGGUUGCCCGACUAAUACCUCUAUUGCCCUUGUUAACUGUCUGAGAACUUUUAACGCGUCCCAACUUGUCGAUACGACGUCUGUGUUCACCGAGUGGUUCGUAUUUCCGUAUGUUAUAUGGAGUCCAAGUAUCGAACCAGAAACAGAAGAAGCAUUCAUAACGGAUACUCCGAGGAACUUGUAUGCUCGCGGAAUGGUCCGUGAUCUGCCGUCGAUAAACCUGGUUGUUCGCGAUGAAGGAAUUGUCUUUAGUGCCUUAUUUCUCAACCGACAAGACUUGAUCAAUGAGUUUUUGGACAAGUUGCAUAUUGUUCUACCUUACGUCUUACAAUAUGAGAAUGAUAUUGACAAUAUGACUGUUUUCGCUGAUGCCGUCAAGUCAUACUACUUUAACAAUCUGACCGUCGAUCAAAACAUAAUAUUCAAUAAUUUUUCGCUAUUCCUGAGUGAUCUUACCGUCACAUAUUUUUCGCACAAAACUAUCCAGGAAAAAGCUCUUCAUACUAAAAGCCCCCAGUAUUUUUGCUCAUUCAACUACCGGGGUACAGUCAGUUACAGCUAUUUCUUCAGUGGAGGGGAUACUGUGAACAUGGGUGUAGCACACGGUGAUGAGCUUCUCUAUCUUCUUCCGGGACCGAAGUCUCAGUUUGGACCUCCAGGCUACGAAUUUAGCGAGGCCGAUUGGAAAAUGGUGGACACGAUGGUCCAGCUGUGGACAUCCUUUGCAGCUACCGGAACACCGACAACUUUGGAUGGCAGUACAACUUGGAUGCCAUAUUCACGUUCCCUCGAUAAUUACCUCCAAAUAGGAGAUGGUUCUGACACAACUCUUCAAAUGAAGCAUGGUUAUUCUGUUGACCGAUUUCGAUUUUUGGACGAACUUUUAGCCGCUGUAAAUUUGCACUAGCUACGGGACUUCGUAUUUCACGAUUACAAUUCACUUUUGAAGGGAUUUGAUGCUGUAAAGAUACAAGUAUUGCAAAUACACAUAUCUGAAUAAAGCAUUUCAAGUGUAAGAUAUUCGUGUAUCACGGACAUAUGAGAAAACAUACAAGGCGUGAGUUCAUCAUAGAGGCCAAGCAGGACGUGUAGCUCCGUCCAUAUCUGUAGCCAAUGAGUUAUCGCUUCUUAAACGAUGUGAUCCGCCGCCAAUGGCAGCUCCACACUCGUUACAAUUGCUUUCUUCCAUGGCACCUCCACAAUCUCCUAUAAUGUAAAUAUGUCCAUUCGGACACUUGAACCAAUGGCCUUGUUUGUAGCCCAUUGCUUUAACAAUCAUCUUACGCUCGUUAUCCAUCAGGAUGACUUUUUUCAUAUCUAAUAAUGGUGCAAGCAGAUGUAUCUGGUUUUUAAUAUCCAAUUCUCUUUCUUCAGUAAAUUUAUGAACACUUGUCAGUUUCUCUACUAAAUUUAUGAAAUCUAUUUCAUGUUCCACGGUGUCAUUAUGCUGGAAGACGAUCUGAAGAUUCAUCUUACAAAUUUCAGCCUGUAAAAUACAUAACAAAUGAAAAUGUAAACCAAAUAAAGAAAUCCUUCAAACUAAAA
rnacentral:misc_RNA from 1 species